GUGGGGAAUAUUGGACAAUGGGCGCAAGCCUGAUCCAGCAAUGCCGCGUGAGUGAUGAAGGCCUUAGGGUUGUAAAGCUCUUUCACCGGGGAAGAUAAUGACGGUACCCGGAGAAGAAGCCCCGGCUAACUCCGUGCCAGCAGCCGCGGUAAUACGGAGGGGGCUAGCGUUGUUCGGAAUUACUGGGCGUAAAGAGCGCGUAGGCGGCGUGACAAGUUGGAGGUGAAAGCCCGGAGCUCAACGUCGGAAUUGCCUUCAAGACUGUCUCGCUCGAGGCAGGGAGAGGAGAGCGGAAUACCCAGUGUAGAGGUGAAAUUCGUAGAUAUUGGGUGGAACACCGGUGGCGAAGGCGGCUCUCUGGCCCUGAUCUGACGCUAAGGCGCGAAAGCGUGGGGAGCAAACAGGAUUAGAAACCCUGGUAGUCC
rnacentral:rRNA from 1 species